rnacentral:rRNA from 1 species
ACGCGAGGAACCUUACCAGGUCUUGACAUCCUCUGACACUCCUAGAGAUAGGACGUUCCCCUUCGGGGGACAGAGUGACAGGUGGUGCAUGGUUGUCGUCAGCUCGUGUCGUGAGAUGUUGGGUUAAGUCCCGCAACGAGCGCAACCCUUGAUCUUAGUUGCCAGCAUUAAGUUGGGCACUCUAAGGUGACUGCCGGUGACAAACCGGAGGAAGGUGGGGAUGACGUCAAAUCAUCAUGCCCCUUAUGACCUGGGCUACACACGUGCUACAAUGGACGGUACAAACGGUUGCCAACCCGCGAGGGGGAGCUAAUCCGAUAAAACCGUUCUCAGUUCGGAUUGUAGGCUGCAACUCGCCUACAUGAAGCCGGAAUCGCUAGUAAUCGCGGAUCAGCAUGCCGCGGUGAAUACGUUCCCGGGCCUUGCACACACCGCCCGU